AGUGGGCGAUGGAUCAGCUGAAGACACCGGCAGUGGAUUGGUUUCUGCAAAUAUGAGUCGCUCCAUCCCCUUGAUCUUCUUGGUUGCCCUUUUUCGAACCUUUUCCAACUCUACACUGCUGUUUACUGGGUCAACAACUUCAUUGAUCUAUCCACUAUGACCCCAAGAUCUUGUUCCUGGUCAGUCACUGCCAGUUCAGACCACAUUAGUGUAUAUGAGAAAUUAAGGGGUUUUUUGCCUCAACAUGCCUCAACACUUUACACU